rnacentral:rRNA from 1 species
UAUGUAGGGGGCAAGCGUUGUCCGGAAUUAUUGGGCGUAAAGAGCGUGUAGGCGGUCCGGUAAGUCAGCUGUGAAAGUCAAGGGCUCAACCCUUGAAAGCCGGUUGAUACUGUCGGGCUAGAGUCCGGAAGAGGCGAGUGGAAUUCCCGGUGUAGCGGUGAAAUGCGCAGAUAUCGGGAGGAACACCAAUGGCGAAGGCAGCUCGCUGGGACGUUACUGACGCUGAGACGCGAAAGCGUGGGGAGCAAACAGG